CGGCGAUGAGGAGAUUCCUACUGUGUUGAACUAGGGUGAUAAUUCUUAUACGCUAUUCUGAGCCGAUC
ensembl:snoRNA